GCUCUGGGUUUCGCGGAGUUGGCACUGCUCAUCACACAGCUAGAGACAAGCUUGAGGGGCGGCUGCAAGGCGAUUCCUGAUCAACCGUGCUUGAACGAAACAGCUCGUGUAUCUCCAAUCAAUUAGUACAUUUUUUUAGCAUGUCCAAUCAACUGGAGUACAUGUGAAUUGAUUUGCAAUUGACUGCCAAUUGUGUCCUCGUUUAGAACAUGGGCUUGUGGGUCAUGGGCUUAUGUGAUGCAAGUCACCUAUUGCUUAAUUCUCUCCUUCAGCGGCAGUUAGGCCUCUAAUGAGGCAGAAACACGUAGGUAACAACACAACUACCUAACUACCUGGCGAAAUACAUUUGAGGCCAUGAGUUGCCUGCCCCCUGCGAGUAUUCAUCCUCCAAAUUGACGAAACUGACCAAAAAUCCAUUGACUCAGCUCAAAGCUUCAUACAUACAGUAUAUAUAUGUAUACUUUUGCCAAAUUUUAGGUAUGGCGGCUGCCAAACCUCGCCAUAUAGCUGGAUCCGCCCCUGGUGGUGCAUGCAGAGCCCCUUCGGCACGCACCGAGCCAAGCACGCCCACGCAUGGGAACCGCGGGGCCCGUACCGAACCAGCCGCAACUGCGCCCCGGUCUCCUGCACCGAGUGGCCCUACCGAAGCGGGCGCACAUCCAGCGCGAAGCCAACAAACGUCCUCGUCUGCAUCUUUUUCAGGAUCUCCAGCCAAUGAAGAAACGUCUUGGACGGGUGUCGACAACGAUGUAUCUUCUGUGGCUUCACCAGUUCAGCAAAUAAUGCAGCCGCCCUCUGUUCCUGAUCGCGUCGUGACCCGCUCACGUAAUAAUAUUUUCAAACCCAAGAUUAUCACAGAUGGGCGAGUUCGAUGGUGCAAUUUGUGCACGACUGGUGAACCAAAUAAUCUUACAGAAGCUCUUCAGGAUAAAAACUGGAAAGAAGCUAUGGACGAGGAAUAUUCUGCAUUGAUAAAAAAUAAUACAUGGCAUCUUGUGCCAGCUUUGAAAGAGAGCAGUGCGGCGAGAUCGAUGUCACUACGAUUGCCAUUGGUGGGAGUGGGAGAAGAAGCCGAGAUGGACGAGAAUAGGACAAGCAAGAAGAUGGGAAUACGGGCAGACAUGCAUCGAGAGGCCAUUGAGCUGGGUUGUUUGCCU
rnacentral:rRNA from 1 species